rnacentral:rRNA from 1 species
AAUUCCAGCUCCAAUAGCGUAUAUUAAAGUUGUUGCAGUUAAAAAGCUCGUAGUUGGAUUUCUGGUGUCCCCCAAGGUCCCAACUUGGGUGCUGUUGGGGGCUGCCAUCCGUGGGUGGAACCUGUGUGGCAUUAGGUUGUCGUGCAGGGGAUGCCCACCGUUUACUGUGAAAAAAUCAGCGCGUUCAAAGCAGGCUUAUGCCGUUGAAUGUAUUAGCAUGGAAUAAUAAGAUAGGACCUGGGUACUAUUUUGUUGGUUUGCGCACCGAGGUAAUGAUUAAGAGGGACAGUUGGGGGUCUUCGUAUUCCAUUGUCAGAGGUGAAAUUCUUGGAUUUCUGGAAGACGAACUACUGCGAAAGCAUUGACCAAGGAUGUUUUCAUUAAUCAAGAACGAAAGUAAGGGGAUCGAAGAUGAUUAGAUACCAUCGUAGUCUUA